CAGAAGAUCACGUAGAUUCUAAUGCUGACUCCUCGUCCAGAAUAAGUACACCAUGGAUCAUCAUCGCCGUCUUGUUGACACUUUGCUUGUUAGUCGUGGGACUAUUACUCUGCUUUGCCAGAUUUGCCUGUAGAAGAGGCUCUGUACAGGCCAAUGCAGCUGCACCAAGCCAACCAACAUAUGCUACUGUAUUAACGACCAGGAAGAAGAACGCAGCAGAGUCCAGAGUUCGCUCAGCGACACGAGACCCUGUUGACGAUGACGUCUGCUAUUCUACAAUUAAGUGUGUUGCUAAGCGCUGACUGAAAGGAGGAGCUCCAUGAUCUACAUGAAAACCAAUAAGUGAAACAAUUAGAGCAAGAAUUAUUGUAGCUACUGUACAAACUGAAAUAGAAUAGUUGACAUUCUUUUGACCUCACGCUUGUGUUCUGUGUUAUAAAUUUAAAGUAUUUUAUCAAGUCUGACAGUGUGGGUGCUUUAACCAACACAUCAGAGAGGUUUCGGUUUAUUUUCAUCAGGCAGUUUAACCAACUUGUUCCAUUAGUCUCGUCUGUUCACACAGUUUCUCACCAGAUGAACUCUGCUGCUGGUUCUAAACGUGCUGCGGUUGUUUAUGUAUCUGAAGGGGUUGUAUAGCUUUUGUAGUUUGUGGUCAGCGACAAGACGAGAAUUUAUUGUGAGAUUUUCAGAGAUGAGAAUAAAAGUC